rnacentral:lncRNA from 1 species
CCAAAUUUCAGUAUUAUAAUGUCUGAUGGUUAAUGUGAUGUCACUGAAUGCAGAUUGAGAAGACUGUACAAAAUCAACUCUCAUGGGCCAAUGCAAGAGAUUUCCAACACAACAGUGCAUAUAGGAUUUUGAAGAUUAUAUUCUCCAAAAAUGGUCAAGAUGAUAUCACCUCUCCCACCAUUCAUUUUAUGAUGUGGCUUUGAUAUUCUCACUGAAGACUAGGAUCCCUUUUAUCCAAGGACUCAUGACUACAGCAGAAGUGUUGCUAUGUGACAUCUGAGGCUAGGUCAUAAAGGAAGUUCAGCUCCUUCUUUGAUCUCUUCAUCUUUUUGCUCUUCAAAUGAGGGAAGCACAUUCUGAAGAAGACUGGGCAGAUACAUGGACAGGCUACAUGCAGGUGUUUUCACCCGCAGCUGAGUUCCCAGUUGAUAGAAUUAACAACACUCAUGUGAGUAAAUGAACCUUUGGAUAAAUCCAGUCCUCAGACAAGUCCACUCUGGCCUUUGGGUGAGAAAAACUAAAAUGGCUUUCUAUAAAGUUUUUGUUAGGCUUCAGAGACCUCUGAAAUUCUAUGGUUAGAGGCAUUCAAGUGGAUGAAUGAAUUCCUUCAGACUCCAUGUGAUGUGAAAGAAUACCUGAGUAUGAAAACACAAGAGCAAUAUGGCCGAAAACUUGAAAAAUGCAGACUGGCAUCUUUGAGGUAUGUGAUCUUUAGGAGUAAUCUAAGAAACAACACCAGCAUCUGUCAACUUUUCUGCUGUUUGCAGCCUGGAAAUAGCUUCACAUGCCCUCGUGUCCCAGAGGGUAUCCAAAACAGGCCUAAGUGUCUUAUGAACAGUUGGUGCUUUAUUCUGAGAUUGCCUUCCAAGUUCAGAAUCCUUAUUAGAGAAAAAAGAGGCUUAGCAAAACAGAUGUUCAGUUGAGUGGAAAGAACAGAUAACAGACAUAUCCAUGAAUCAAAAUGGAAAUUUACGAGAAAACAAAAUAAACAUUUUUGUCUCUAUAUUAUUCCA